rnacentral:sRNA from 1 species
UCAAAAGUUCCACGAGAUCAGCCUGCAAC